UCCGCCUUGGAGGCGGCAGUCUCUUGUGAAAGAACAACACAAGAUGAGGGUUGCGCUCGUUCGCUGACUUAACAGUACACCUCAAGGCACGAGCUGACGACGACCGUGCAUCACCUGUCUUCGGGUUCCUUGCGGCACUUCCCCGUUUCCGGGGAAUUCCCGAGAUGUCAAACCUGGGUGAGGUUCUCCGCUUACUAUCGAAUUAAACCCCAUGCUCCACCGCUUGUGUGGGUCCCCGUCUAUUCCUUUGAGUUUUAGCCUUGCGGCCGUACUUCCCAGGCGGCGUGCUUACCGCGUAAGCUAAGGCACUGAGAGCGAUUGAGCUCCCAACACCGAGCACGCAUCGUUUAGGGCGUGGACUAC
rnacentral:misc_RNA from 1 species